CACGUAGUUAGCCGGGGCUUCUUCUGCAGGUACCGUCACUUUCGCCUCGUCCCUGCUGAAAGCGGUUUACAACCCGAAGGCCUUCGUCCCGCACGCGGCGUCGCUGCAUCAGGCUUUCGCCCAUUGUGCAAGAUUCCCCACUGCUGCCUCCCGUAGGAGUCUGGGCCGUGUCUCAGUCCCAAUCUGGCUGGUCGGUCUCUCAACCCAGCUACCCAUCAUUGCCUUGGUAGGCCUCUACCCCACCAACAAGCUAACAGGCCGCGGGCCCAUCCUUCUCCGCAAAAGCUUUCUCAAUGUCGUCAUGCGGCCACAUUGAAGUAUCGGGUAUUAUCCUCGGUUUCCCGAGGCUAUCCCCAAGAGGAGGGCAGGUUGCCCACGUGUUACUCAGCCGUUCGCCACUUUAUACACACCUAAAAGGUGCUUUAACCGUUCGACUUGCAUGUGUUAGGCGCGCCGCCAGCGUUCAUCCUGAGCCAGGAUCAAACUCU
rnacentral:rRNA from 1 species